rnacentral:rRNA from 1 species
AUACGAGGGGGCUAGCGUUGUUCGGAAUUACUGGGCGUAAAGCGCACGUAGGCGGAUCAGCAAGUUAGGGUGAAAUCCCGGGGCUCAACCCCGGAACUGCCUUUAAAACUGUUGGUCUUGAGUUCGAGAGAGGUGAGUGGAAUUCCGAGUGUAGAGGUGAAAUUCGUAGAUAUUCGGAGGAACACCAGUGGCGAAGGCGGCUCACUGGCUCGAUACUGACGCUGAGGUGCGAAAGCGUGGGGAGC